UACGUAGGGGGCAAGCGUUAUCCGGAUUUACUGGGUGUAAAGGGAGCGUAGACGGCAGUGCAAGUCUGGAGUGAAAGGCGGGGGCUCAACCCCCGGACUGCUCUGGAAACUGUACGGCUGGAGUGCAGGAGAGGUAAGUGGAAUUCCAUGUGUAGCGGUGAAAUGCGUAGAUAUAUGGAGGAACACCGGUGGCGAAAGCGGCUCUCUGGCCUGUAACUGACACUGAGGCUCGAAAGCGUGGGGAGCAAACAGG
rnacentral:rRNA from 1 species